CGGAUAAACAUUUCCACGAACGAUAAGGCUGCAGCAUCCAAGGUAAAUAAGUUGCCUACCAAAGGGCCACUGUGACAGCGGGAGUUUGUCUUCAGCGUGGCAGCAGAGCCAUGCCAAGCUGGCAUUUCUGCAGACUGUGCAGAAUUGGGUGUCCCCUGUGGGUGUCCCCCCCAGGGCUGAGCUGGGGGGACAGGGAGUGUGUGCUGAGGGUGACCCGUGUUUGGGCAGGGACAGCAGAGCUCCCAGUUGUCCCUGCCGCAUCACCUCCCAUUGCUGGUGCCCUGGGGUGUCCUGCAAAGUGGGGGAGCGGUGGGCACUGUCACAGCCCCUGGUCCCUGUGCUGGCCCUCUGUGCACUUCACCUCUGGGACAGCUGUCCCUGUGUCACAGCAUUUCUGCCCGAAAGGAAUGGGAAGGAGGAGCCCUGAGCACCUCAUCCGUCCCAUGCCCGCUGCAGCAGCACGGCCAGGUCCUCCCGCAGCCCGGAGCUGCUCCGAGAGGCUCCGCAGGUGCUGGACUCCGGACACGCUUUUCCUUUGCUUCCCAUCAAAUCUCCAGCCAAAACCUCCUCUUCCCCUGGGCAGCCUUGCAAAGAUGCUUAUCGUCCCGAGGUCCUUGUUGUAAGGAGGAGGAAUGUGGGGCUGAGGGACACGCUGUGCAGUGGGGACGGUGCCAGCGAGCCGCUGUGCUCGGGCAGGAGCAGCGUGCCUGGAAAGCACAGCUCGCAGCACUGGGAGCGUUCAGAGAAAGCCUCGCCUUCGAGGGGAAACCAGGAUGGGGGGUAGCGCUGCCUAAAAGGAGGGAAAACUUUAGUAAAGUGGGGUGGGGGCUUUCGUUUGGCUGGUAGCAGCUCUUCUUCCAUGCCCAGCAUUGCCGUGACAGCUUGCAGUGGCACGGGGCAGCUGGAGAAGGGUCCGACCAUGGGCAGGGAGGUGGUUCGGGGCCCUGGGUGAUGUAGGAAUGACCCCGCUCAGGGGGAUAGUUCCUGCUGCCAGGGAGCUCCGUUCCACGGAGAAUGGCGGGGAGGGCAGUGGCAGCCAGUAACAUCUGCUGCUCCGAUGGUGUCAACCAGCGUCACAUCCCUGGCAGCUCGAGGUGUCCCGCUGGCCAACAGCUCGGAGGCUUUCGCAGGGCUUGGCUGUUGUUCUGGAAAAGCAGCUUGUCCCCAGCUAGGUUAGAUGAGGAGCGUGGCCUCGCUGUCUUCGGGAAGUUACAAAUAUUCCUGACCCAGGACCCUUUGGGGGAGGCUGUUUGCACACCCAUGGGGGCUGGUGGUCGCCCCGGGGAUGCUGAGGAGCCGUCCCCACCCAAACUGGCUCCGAAUGGUGCCGUUCCCCAUGGCCACAUCCCCCUUUCCCAGCCUAAACCGGAAGAUACCGCCACACCUGAGCUCGGUUUGUGUGUUCCCCACUGUCACCAGGACUUUCUGUCAAAUCUCACCCUCACCAGCUCGGGAUUAUCUCACAGAAGUGAACAUUUACCAUCUAAAGAAGCACAUAUGUCUUUUUUUCUCCAUCCAACUUCGAAAUGUCGCGCUCUGGGCAUCCAGCGUCUCGCGGGGCUCUCCUGGUCCGUCUGUCUGGCAGGAGGUGGGUGUUGAUAAGACCUCAGCGCUACCGCUCAUGACAGGCCAGUGUGAAACCAGCUCCUCUGGGUUCCCAAGUGACUUCCAUGAAACUUCUCCAACAUCUCCUCCUACAGACACCUCUUCCCUGCCGCUGACAGUUCAAAGCAAGCCCUGAACUGGUGAAAGGAGCCGGGAACGCGCCGUCCUGCUUGCUGGAAGCCAGUGGUCCCUGUGUAAUCUCAUCUGGAGCAGUUCCUCCAACGGUCGCAGUCUGCGUCCCAUCAGAGCCAGACAGAUGCCGGUGUUGGUUUGCUUUGGUUUCCUAAACCAAACUGAUGUGAGCAGUGUCUGUUUUGGUUGGGUUUGUUCCAGUUGUUUUGAUCAAAUGCUCUUGAGUUUUGUAUCUGAAACCACUGAACCUGGCCCGAGUUUGCCUUUAAUUUGCAAACGCUGCGCUCGGAGCCGGGAGCGCUCCCAUCCCCGCGGACACACGCGGGUUUGUCAGGAUGCUUUUGGCACAGGGACCGAAUGCUUCACAACAUAACAAAGAAACAGAGCUCUCUGAUGCUCCUGCGAAGGCUAAAGCUCCAUCUGCCUAGAUGAAGGGAGAACUGUUAAACCUACUGUGAGCAUCCCAAAGGCACAGCUACUUCUGAGCAGCUUAUCUUUUGACUCAUGUAAAUGUUAUUUCUGCCUCUUCCACAUUUUCAAGGUUUCAGCUCCGCUUCACAUCGGGCCUCCCGAUGAGGCUCGUGCUGCAAACACCUGAGCAGAAAAGCACUGGAACCAUCUCCCAGAUGUCUCUGGCUCCCAGGUUUGCAGGUUCUUUCUGAGCGUUUGCAACCUAAACCUCCUCUUCAUUGCUAGUCCUGGCUCUUUUCAGCCUUUGUAAAGUGCAGAGACUCCUGAUGCGGGCACUGGCAGCAAGUGUCCAUCUCCUGGUACCUCCCCUUGCUCCGGUGGAGGGAACACGCUCAACAUCUGGCCAGCGUCUGCAGCUUCCUCUCCAAAAACACAAAGCGCUGCAUUCUUCAGCCCAAACAACAUUCUUGAAUGGAGAUGUGAGGCAAUGUGGAGGGAGGCGGUCACUGGGAGAUGGUGCGAUUGCCAAGGAGCCCCAGGGCUCUGCUGGAAACGCCGGCCGGGGGCUGACGGGGUGAUGCUCUCACCGCGGUUCCUGGGUGACAGCACCGUCCGAUGCCACCAAGGUCACCCAAAUUGCACGGGAGGUGCUUCAGAACUGCCCUUGCAAGCUGCAGGGGCUCAGCCCAGGCUUUCUGUGGCUGGUAGGGGGUGACAUUAGGGAUCCUCCUGCUCUUCUCCCUCCCACAGGACACCGGGGGCUGGGAAAUUGGUGGCCGCUGGAGCGCCGCUCACUCACUCACAUCCCGUGCCCCAGCCUCAUCUUCUCCGUGCCAUGGGGCUCUGAAAAAGCGCCUGCACCAGAGAGGUGUCUUGGCACCAAAAAUAAGGUUUUGCCAGCUCCCGGCCCCCAUUCGUGUCCCGCUGCUGCUGCUCUGUCGCCUGCCCUUGGACGUGUGCACCCAGUGCCACCCACAAGUGACACAGCCCCGUCCCCCUGUCCUCGCUCCCAUCGUGGUCUGGCAGCGAGCGGGGCCGGGCUGUGCAGGAACAACAAGCAGCUUCUAUAAUAUUUGGCUCCAGAUCUCUUCGGGGGGGCUUAGGGCAGGGAGAGCGACCCCCAAAUUGCCCCUUCCCCUCCGCAGCGCUGCCUUUGCACGGCUGCCCACGCUGGGAAACACUGGUUUGGCUGGGGAGGCCUCUGCCCCGUCCCACCGUAAUUACAGGCUGCCUUGGGGCUCUGGAGCCUCAUGUAAUAACUCCCUGGUCUCUUGGGGUCUGCGGGUUAUUAUGGGGUGGACUCAACCCUCCCAACACCCGGACCCAGGAAUGUCCCCACAGCCCGUCCCAGCCCCACGGCCAUGGCUCUGGGUCCCCAGUGGUCUCAGCGUGUGUCCUUUCAUCCCCGGCCCUGCAGAGCUGAGACGCCGGAUUCCUUAACUGCGCGUCUCCAGGCUCCAGUCUCUCCCCUUGCAGCGUGGCUGGUGCCCUGGGCUGUGCUGGGAGAGGAUGUCUCAGCACAAAGAGGGUCAGAGCUUAUUACAACCGCUGUAAAAUGUGUUUGAAAAGGUUAAAUGCUUAAUUUGGAACAGAGCUGGAAACUAUGAAGCGUUUCCUCAUCCAGUCGCUCCCUUGUCUGUCCCUGGACUUUUGCUGUACAUGGCUAACAUCUCCAUAGCUGACGGGGGCUGGUUACCAGCAUGCAGUGAAAUGCCUUUGAGAGCCUAUGGGUUUUGCAGAGGAGAAGUUUGCACAAGAUUAACCAAGUGCAAACCCACUUGGGAGGACAGUGAGGGAGCUGCAAGGACCUCACAGUCCCAUCGGGUGUCACGGGUGCUGCUCCUGCCGCUGUAACUUAUGGCCUGUGUCCGGGCUCGUGGUGCAGAUGUUUGUCCACAGCUGCCUGGGUAUCACUCAGUUCUGCUCAUGGGUGUCGCGUGGAGUCAGGACCAAACCCAGCAGGAUGCUGACGUCUUCCCAGCGCCGUUUGCAGGACCUGAUCUGCUGCAGUCUGGCACGGGACCUGCCCUGGCUCCCCAGGGUGACGGGUACCCAAACCCGGAGCCCCGCGCUCAGCAUCACGGGGCAGAGCAGCCAGGACGUGGCAGCAGCUCCCAGCCCCUUGCCGGACCUGAGGAGGGGACAGGGCCACGGGAAGCACCAGGACAUGUGCUGGUGGUGGCAAUCGCUCCGUGCUGGGAGGCUGAGCACGGUGUCCCGCCAGGACCCGCUGCCUCUCCCCACCUCGGCAUCACGGCAGCUGUGCCGGCUGCCAGCGCUGGCUGCAGCGGCCCAAGGAGCAGAAGGAAAAAAUGCAGCGUUUCCUUGCUCAGAGCCUUCAAUUCAUGUUUUCAAAGGCCCUUUGAACACUUGGCUCCUCUCUGAAGCCUCCCAGCUCUCCUGAACAAACAGCAGGAGGGAGCAGGUUCAUUCCAGCCCCUUGACGGAGGCUCCUGGAUGGGGAAAAUCUCACGUCAUGUUUCCUACAAGCAGGGAGCCUCGGAGCCCUCUUGCAAAGUGCCGAGCCCAAGGGCCCCGUCUCUGCCUGUCCCCAAACCUGCCCCAGGUCUCUCCUCUGCAGCUUUCAAGGCUCAUUGCAGAUCCUCCUCCUCCUCCUCCUCCAAGGUGAGCUCGGUACCCAAACCUCUCUGCAAACAGGGUUGCAGACACACCAGGAGCCAAAUAUAAACCCAUGCAGAGAUUAAUAAAUUAUAACUGUCGGUCUGAGGCGCAUCAGGCAGUAAACAAGGAGAGGGUCCCGGCUCAGCGCCUGGGAAGGUCACGGCACCGAACUCCCCUCCCAAGUGGUGCGCGGGCUGUUUUUCUCUCUAAAGCAUCUGAAAUAUGAAAUAUGAAAAAAAAGAAAAGGCGCAACAUCAGCUGCCUGGGAAUCCCAUCAGCGUCCCCGCCUGCUCCCGGCCCCGCGCUGGCAAACCACGCCACCCGUCCCGCUGCCCGCAGCCUCUGCACCCUGGCAUCGUUUCGGCCGGAGCAGAGCAACCCUCUGCCCUCUGCCCUGGCUCCCAGCGCCACGCUCAGCCUCUGCCGAGCUGCAAACGCUCCUCCACAUGACAGGCAGGCAUGGUUUUCUGUUCUUUUUUAAAGGAGGAAAAAAUAAAAAGCUUUGGAGACAAACAGAAGCAAGAA